AUGGCGGAGGAAUCGUGGAGCAACUCCCCUCCGUCUGUCAAGCGAAUGGCGGAGGCAUCGUGGAGCAACUCCCCUCCGUCUGCCAAGCAUAACCGUGGUGAGGCGUCUGGCAAGGAGCCGAUGGUGGACGACAACGACGUUCCGGUCCCCGGGCAGAAGCUGGACUACACCGUGGCGCUCAAGGUUGAUACCCACCUGAAGGAGCCGCUGGAUGUCAUAUGCACGAGCAAUCCAGACGAAGCCAGCAAGAGGAUCCGCGAGAUCAGGAAGAGGCUCGGUGGCAUGCUUCCUCGGUCGAUCGGCGUUGAUGUCGAGUAUACCAGCGAAGACGAACCUCCGCAAAUGGCUGCAGUUCUGUAG
rnacentral:rRNA from 1 species